rnacentral:rRNA from 1 species
UUAAAUUAUUAAGCCUAGAUUAUUAGUAGUUAAGUUCUUGAAAAUUAAUAAAGAUGGCGGUGCUUUAGUCCAUUCAGAGGAAUCUGUCCUGUAAUUGAUGCUCCACGAUUUUAGUUACUUAAGUUUUUAGCUUAUAUAUCGCUGUAGGUUGAAUAUUUCUUUUGAAUUAGAAUAUUCAUAGAUUUUAUGGAAAGGAUCUCAAGUCAAGAUGUAGCUUAUAUUUAAGAAGAGGUGGAUUACAAUACAAAUAGAUUUGGUUGGAAAAUUGAAAUGUUUUUUAUAAAUUGGAUUUGAUAGUAAUUUUUUAAAAAAAUUUGAAAAAUGAUUUUGGCUCUAA